CUCGCUGUAGGACACUUUGGGAAUAUGCUCAGCCGUGUUCACUCAUUCAUAGAACUGGAAGUGCAACACAGAGUUAACUUCCUUGGGUUAACUCUUGUCUAAUGAGAGACAGAAGCUGGUAGACAAAUAUUUCUUUCUUCACUGUCUUGCCCUGACAGCCCUGAAGGGCACUCUACAUGGUUUUUUAGAGGACUCCAGUAGGACCCAGCCACAAUGGCCUAUGGAACUGACAGCCUUCCUGGAGAGAUGACGCUUUCUUGAACUGGAGGAAUCAAUUAGUGACAUAUGCAAGAGAAGAGAGCAUGCCACACUUUGGGAGCAGCACGAGUUGAACCAAAGCACAGAGCUAUUGUUCUGGAAAGCACUCCCUAAUAGACAACCUGCAUGCAAGUAUCUGCCUCAGAGUUCAUUUUCUACACAAUUGGGCCUAAGGUCACACACGUUGUUCUGAAGAUGCUUUAAUGUUCUCCACGUGUAGUUGAUGGACGACUGAAGAUUAUCCUUGGAAUCGAGCAUCUCUUCCUAGGGAUCUGGAAAUCAUAUCCUGCUUUCCCACAGUUUUGGACCAGCAAGUCAUAACUUUUUGUGAGGAGGAGAUGCUUUUCAUUUCCAUGAAGGCUUGGGGUCACUCCUGUUGCUGCUGCAGCUACUCCUGUGGGUUUUAGGAUAGCUGACCUGACUUUGACGUGGCCAUCUCCAAAGCAUUUUUCUGACUGAGAGCCAG
rnacentral:lncRNA from 1 species